GCCAGGCAUGGUGGCCCACACCUGUGAUCCCAGCAACUUGGGAGGCUAAGGCAGGAGGAUUGCAAGUUCAAGGCCAGCCUCAGCAACUUAGUGAGAUCCUGUCUCAA
rnacentral:sRNA from 1 species